rnacentral:misc_RNA from 1 species
AAGUCGUAACAAGGUUUCCGUAGGUGAACCUGCGGAAGGAUCAUUACUAGAGCAAAGGACAGGCAGCGCCCCACAGAAGCUUGCUUCGUGGCGGGACUACCCUAUUUCGGUAGGGGUUAGAGCCGUCGACCCUCUCGGAGAAGGUCGGUCCUGAACUCCACCUUGAAUAAACUACCUUUGUUGCUUUGGCGGGCCGCCUCGCGCCAGCGGCUUCGGCUGUUGAGUGCCCGCCAGAGGACCACAGCUCUUGUUUUUAAGUGAUGUCUGAGUACUAUAUAAUAGUUAAA